ensembl:lncRNA
AUAAGCAAAAGAUUCUUUGCUUAAAACAUUGAAACCACCACCAUGACCACCAGCAACAACAAAACCAACAAAACCCAAGACAAACGAGUUUUGUGGCAACAGCAAUAAAAGCCCAGGUCAAGUUAUUUCACAGUGGCUGCUGGAAAUCCAGCGAUCGUGUCCACAUUGGAGAUAUCUGGAAGGAAGAGGAGAGACGUGUAAUGCAAAACAAAAAACGAACAUUCAAAAACCCACAUCCAGAGUCACCUCUGUUUUUUAAGGAGACUUUUCGGGAGUUCCGUGGAACCUGCAGAAGGGCCAGGUCACCUAAGCUGUGGACCAGGAGCUGGUCAUUUGUUCACAUCUAGCUGCAGGCUGUAAAACGGAGGCAAAGCCUGCACUGUUCAGUCACUAAGGAAAAAGAGAAAAUGGUUCUUGAGGGACAACAAACUUCUCUGACAAUAAGGAUAAUUUCUGAUUUCUUCUAAAAAACAGAAUUAUUGGACAAAGAUCAAAUUGGAUGAAGACCCAGUAUAUAUUUCUCAUAAGC